CACUCCUGCGGGAGGCAGCAGUAGGGAAUCUUCGGCAAUGGGGGCAACCCUGACCGAGCAACGCCGCGUGAGUGAAGAAGGUUUUCGGAUCGUAAAGCUCUGUUGUAAGUCAAGAACGAGUGUGAGAGUGGAAAGUUCACACGGUGACGGUAGCUUACCAGAAAGGGACGGCUAACUACGUGCCAGCAGCCGCGGUAAUACGUAGGUCCCGAGCGUUGUCCGGAUUUAUUGGGCGUAAAGCGAGCGCAGGCGGUUUGAUAAGUCUGAAGUUAAAGGCUGUGGCUCAACCAUAGUUCGCUUUGGAAACUGUCAAACUUGAGUGCAGAAGGGGAGAGUGGAAUUCCAUGUGUAGCGGUGAAAUGCGUAGAUAUAUGGAGGAACACCGGUGGCGAAAGCGGCUCUCUGGUCUGUAACUGACGCUGAGGCUCGAAAGCGUGGGGAGCGAACAGGAUUAGAUACCCCAGUAGUCCCAUGAU
rnacentral:rRNA from 1 species